rfam:Oryza glumipatula chromosome 12, whole genome shotgun sequence.
AAUAAAUGUAGCUAUAAAUUUCCGCGUCUAACUUUAAUCGUUCGUCUUAUUUGAUUUUUUUUAAUAAUUAGUAUUUUUAUUGUUAUUAGAUUAUAAAACAUAAAUAAUACUUUAUGCGUGACUUAUAUUUCCUAUUUUUUUUAAAAAAAAUUAAAUAAGAUGAAUGAUAUAUUAAAAUUGGACACGGAAACUUAUGGUUGUGUUUAUU